ACUCACCACGCCUCAUACUCGGGGAUAGCCUUUCGAAAGAAAGAUUAAUAUCCGAUAGCAUAUAUUUCCCGCAUGGGUUUUAUAUUAAAGAAAUUCGGUAUGAGAUGGGGAUGCGUUCCAUUAGUUUGUUGGGGGGGUAACGGCCCACCAAGACUACGAUGGAUAGGGGUUCUGAGAGGAAGGUCCCCCACAUUGGAACUGAGACACGGUCCAA
rnacentral:rRNA from 1 species